GCUCCGGUGGCCUAGUGGUUAGUGCGUUCGACUCGGAUGCGGGAGGUCGUGGGUACGAUCCCCGAUCGAGUCA